GUGGCGCUAAUUUGCACACUACACUGAUUCCUUACCGCUCUUUGGAAAAACACAGAAGAAGAAAAGUUUGAACAACGCAGCAAGGCGGGAAGCAGCAGACAGUAGGGUUGCAGAAACUACCUACGCAGCAGCAAUCAGGCUCACUGGACUUACUUUUCAAGAAGUUAAGGAAGAUAACUGGAGAUGUGAUAACGAUACCAGAAGACUGAGAAGAAACUGACCCUCAUUAGAAAGAUGAUGGAGACCACAUUUCCCCU